CUGGGAAGAUAGCGGGGUAGGGUGCCCCUGGGCUGACCUCUUGUCGCGUGGCCGCCUAGAGAGCACCCACGUCGGCAUAAAUAACCCAGAAAGCAGCCCGAAAACUGGCAGAACAGACUCUCCGCAGCCCGGCACAGACAAGCAGCCACAGCGAAGCAGAUCCAUCCCCUCCGAUCGCUCUUGGCAAGAUCCCGUCAAAGCAGUGCCACAAGCCUGGCAGUGUGUGCGUGGCCCAGACAAGUCAGCACCACUCCAAAGUGAGUCCUGCCCCAGGGAGAGGGGAAGAUAAGCACACACCCGUCUGACUGUGACCCCAGCAGUGGGCUGAGGGCAGGCCCCUGCUCUGACUGCAGGCCCCAGCCACGAACAGAAGCUUCUCCGGGGACGGCACAGGGACAGGGCCUGCAGUUUGGUGCUACUGCAUCUCCGGCAAACGCCUGGUCUGACUCAACUCCAGCCCAAGGCAGCCCCGGAGCAGCCCACUAACACCACGGGCACCAGACUCUGCCCACAACAGGCAGGGAGCCAUCGCAGACAACAGGACUGAAGGCAAACACAUCCCAGCCACAAAGGGAGGACACCCCUGGGGCAACACACAUAGGAGACACCCCCGGAAGCACCAGGUUCUGGGGAACAGACAUUGUACUGCAGGACCUCUUCAUAAAGCCACUACUUUCAAGUGCAGGAGACGGAGCUGACUUUCCUAACACAGAGAAACAGACAACGCAAGAGACAGAAUGAGGAGACACAGGAAUAUAUCCCAAAUCAAAGAACAGGACAAAAUCAGAGUAGGAGACCUAAGCGAAACGGAGAUAAGUAAUAUGUCUGAUAGUGAGUUUAAAGUAACACUCAUAAAGAUGCUCGCUAGAAUUGAGGAAGGACUGCAGGACCUCCAUGAGACCCUCCACCGAGAGCUAGCAGACGUAAAAAAGAACCAAUUAGAGCUAUUGGACUCACUAAAUGGAAAUAAAAAUAGAGCAUCUGGAAUAAAUAGCAAGCAAGAGGAAGUAGAAGAAAGGAUCAGCCACCUGGGGGACAGAGUCAUGGAAAGCAAUCAAGCUGAGCAGAUGAGAGGGGGGAAAAAUAAGCAAAAUGAAAAUAGACCCAGGGAACUCAGCAACACUGUCAGGCAUAACAGUUGCAUGAUAGGGAUCCCAGAAGGAGAAGAGCAAGGAAAGGGUGCAGAAGAUUUGUCUGAAGAAAUAAUAGCUGAAAACUUCCUGAAUCUGGGGAAGGAACGAGAAAUCCAGAUCCAGGAGGCACAGAGAGCCCCCAGCACAACCAACCCAAAGAGGUCUGCGCCAAGACACAAAGUAAAUAAGAUGGCCAAAAGUAGUGAUAAAGAGAGAAUUUUAAAAGCAGCAAGAGAAAGGAAAGCAGGUACAUACAAGGGAAACCCCAUACGGCUAUCAGUGGGUUUUUCAGCAGAAACUCUGCAGGCCAGAAGGAAACAGCAUGAUAAAUUCCAACUGCUAAAAGGAAAAAAUCUACAGCCAAGAAUAUUCUAUCCAGCAAGGCUUUCAUUUAGAAUAGAGGGAGAGAUCAAGUUUCCCAGAAAAACAAAAAUUAAGAGCAAAACCAGCCAUGUCCCUGUCACACACGAUGCCAUCGGCCUGUGGGUCCCAAAUUCACGGUCCACCCGCCCUCCUGCCCAAGUCAGCGUGCACGGCCUGCCACCUGCUAAAUGCCAAGUCAACAUGCCUUCACCUCAGAUUGCCAAGGGCUCAAAUUGACACUGUUCCCCUCAAAUUUCAGCCCCUGUGCCCAAGUUUGUGCACAAAAGUGGGAAUAAUUAUAACAGCAGAAUGAAGCAACCCAAACAUCUAUUUCUGUGGAAUAUAAAAUGGAUAAAAGGAGUGUGCUAGGCUGAGAACAUCUCCAAAAAGCACAUGGACAAUACAUACAGCAUGAUUCUCGUUAGUAAAAAACAAAAAAAAAAAAACCUGGGAAGAAUAAAACAAGAUGAAACCGGAGAGGGAGAAAAACCGUAAGAGACUUUUUAAGCAUAGGAAAGAAACAGGCUUGCUGGAGGGGAGGUGGGGGGGGGAUGGGGUGACUAGGUGGUGGGCAUGAAGGAGGAGGGCACGUGAUGGAAUGAGCACUGGGUGUUGUAUGCAACUGAUGAAUCACUGAACUCUACCUCUAAAACUAAUAAUACACUAUAUUGUUAAUUAAUUGAACUUAAAAAAAAAAGGAAACCCAAAA